UCUAAUUAAAGAAUAGAAUGAACGGAACAACGAAUUUUAACCUGUUUCACUUUUUCUUAAUAAAACUACUUAAAAGUAAAAACACUUUUACUUAAAAAAAAGACGAUAAGACCCUAAAGAACUUCACUAAAGUUAAGCUGGGGCGGCCUAAAUAAAAAAAUCUUAUUUAAUAUCAUUCAUCCUAAUUAUAUUACUAAUGUUACCUUAGGGAUAACAGCACAAUUUAAUUUUACAGCUCUUAUUCAAAAUUAAGAUUGUGACCUCGAUGUUGAAUUAAAAAUCUAUUAAACGAAAAAAAUUAACAAGAAGGUCUGUUCGACCUUUAAACAAUUACAUGAUUUGAGUUCAGACCGGUGAAAACCAGGUCGGUUUCUAUCUUUUUUAAAAAUUUAUUAGUACGAAAGGACCAUAAAAUAUAUUUACAAU
rnacentral:rRNA from 1 species